UUAACUAUUAUAUAGUACUCAGACAUCACUGAUAACAGAGUUGGGUCCUCUGGCAGGCACUCUCCAGCCGAAGCCGGUGCUUGAUCGCGUGGCAAUCUCACGGCCUGCCAAAGCAACAAGUAAUAAUACACAGGGUGGUGAGUCUGGCCCCGAGGGGCUAGUUUCACUGUAAUGAUCCUUCCGCAGGUUCACCUACGGAAA
rnacentral:misc_RNA from 1 species